rnacentral:rRNA from 1 species
GACGAACGCUGGCGGCGUGCCUAAUACAUGCAAGUCGAACGCAGUGGGGACGGGUGAGUAACACGUGGGUAACCUCCCAUCAGAGGGGAUAACACUUGGAAACAGGUGCUAAACCGAUCCUGAUGGAUGGACCCGCGGUGCAUUAGCUAGUUGGUGAGGUAACGGCUCACCAAGGACACGAUGGAUAGCCGACCUGAGCGGGGGAUCGGCAACACUUGGACUGGGAAACGGCCCAUACUCCUACGGGAGGCAGGAGUAGGGAAUCUUAGGGAAUGGACGAAAGUCUGACCGAGCAACGCCGCGUGAGGGAAGAAGGUGUUCGGAUCGUAAAACUCUGGUGUUAGAGAAGCGGUAUCUAACCAGAAAGCCACGGCUAACUACGUGCCAGCAGCCGCGGUAAUAC